rnacentral:misc_RNA from 1 species
UUCAAGCCGCUUUGCGGGCAAACCGGCGGGAACGAUGAAGUAGAGUUCGAUCUGCCGGCCGCGGCCGACGCGUGCGACAUAGGCGCGGUAUGACAGGAAUUGAUAGCGCAGCACGAUUUGCCGGGCGAUUUCUUCGACAUGCUGCAUGAGAUCGGGCGGCGUGACCAGCAGGGCGUCGGCGAGCGCCUGACGCACCGUGCCGAUCGGUAUCGGAAUGACAAUCAGGCAGACGAUCGCCAGCGCGGCAGGNNNNNNNNNNNGGCUCGUGCCCUGAAUCAUGUAGCCGAAGAUGAAGGCGACGAGCAGAGCGGCUGUCAGCG